AGUGGCUAAGCAAUGCCCAGAUGAGGGUUAUGAACUCGCCUCCCGACUCGAGCUGAUACUUGUGAUCUGCUGCAUUCCAACUUGGGGCCAUGUGCACAAGUAAGUCGGCCCACACUUCAGAUAGAAUCUUCCAACGGCUUUGUUGAUCCUCGUUCUUGAUCAGGGCCUUGCCAAGAGCAGCACCUUGCUGCACUAUGUUCAUGCCCGUGACCCUGUCCACUUUCUUCAGCGCGUCUUCUUCGGCUAUGGAAAUGAGUUUGCUAUAACUACACUUUCUCAAGUUGCAAUCUUUGAGUUGUUCACGAACAUCUCAUAAUGUGUCCACAAAGAUCAUACCAGGCACAACGAAACUAUCUGGCAACAGAGCAGAUCGCUGCAGGUACGACGGCUUGGAAGUGCGGCGGACGAGUGUCUUCAGGCGUGACCAAGCAGAGCGAAAGAACCCAGGUUUAUUCAAGUCAAUUUGACACUUUCGGGCAAGCUCGAUCUCGCAGAGGCUGGUGGCGAUGUGCCACACCAGAAUGACCUGAGAGCAUGUGUGUAGCUCGAGGCAGGCCCAGCUGUACCGCUCAAACCUUUCCAGUGACCCACUCAGCGAUGGAAUUUGUUUGGGCAGCUGACUUUUCUUGAGGUCCACGUGGCGGAGUGCCUUUAAGAUUGCUGACUUGACACAUUUUGGGACCUUGAUACACUUGCCAAGUUUUCUUCCAUCUAAUUCUUGUUGCAUCUUUCUCAUGCUAAUGGCAUUUGCUGCUUUCUGAAAUAAGGAUUUGUAAUUGCAGGACUCCAAGAAGUCAUACUGGUCCAUGAAUCCAUGCCAUGCGUCACAAAUACUGGACUUGUAAAAUGAUCUGAUAAGACGCCGAUCAAGACAAAACCAGCUGAACCAAGGUCGGCUCUGCAGAUACUUGCACACGAGGAGUAAUCUUGUCCAGUUCGACAGCAGGGGUACUUGGUUGUAGACCGUUCGGAUGUCCACAGCCAGCCAGAGGGCGACAAAGAAGGUUGCCAUUGACAGGAGGAGACUGAACAACAUAGAACCAAGCCCGCUCCAGAAGACCAGAGGGUAGAGGGUGUGGAAGUAGUCUCUGGUGAAUGCAAGCUCUAUCUCAGGAUUUUGAAGGCCCGCUCCCCCUCCGUCUCUGCCGCUGAUGCCGUCUCCACUUCCGCUGUUUCUGGUUCAAGCACUGUCGAUGUCUCCGCUGCAGCCAUUCCUGCCAUUUGUAUCUCCCCAACCACUGCUAACGCUGGCGUUGAUGCUGUCUCUCCCACCGUUUACACAGCCGCCACCGUCUCACUGGGUGCCGUCUCCGCCACUGCCUCUGCUGCCGUUUGUUGUGGACUAUCAGUGAUUCUUGAAGUGAUUAGAUUCCGUGUGCUGUCAAUACUGUUAGAAUAUGUAUAGAGCUCUUUAUUUUAUGUUUUGCACCCAAUACGUAUGUGUAUUGGAGUCUCCCAUUGUACAAACUCUUGGUCGUAUU